rfam:Glossina pallidipes unplaced genomic scaffold Scaffold9, whole genome shotgun sequence.
GGGGGAUAAGCUUAGUACGUAGGCGCCACAGAUGUCGAAUCGUGCAUGCUCUGUUAACACGGGUCAGUGGUAUCUUUCGAAGAUUUUUACCUCC